UACGGAGGAUCCAAGCGUUGUCCGGAUUUACUGGGUUUAAAGGGUGCGUAGGUGGACUUUUAAGUCAGUGGUGAAAGCCUGUAGCUUAACUAUAGAAUUGCCAUUGAAACUGAAAGUCUUGAGUACAGUUGAGGUGAGCGGAAUGUAUCAUGUAGCGGUGAAAUGCUUAGAUAUGAUACAGAACACCGAUUGCGAAGGCAGCUCACUAAACUGCAACUGACACUGAGG
rnacentral:rRNA from 1 species